rnacentral:rRNA from 1 species
AUCUAAGUACCCCGAGGAAAAGAAAUCAACCGAGAUUCCCCCAGUAGCGGCGAGCGAACGGGGAGGAGCCCAGAGCCUGAAUCAGCAUGUGUGUUAGUGGAAGCGUCUGGAAAGGCGCGCGAUACAGGGUGACAGCCCCGUACACAAAAGCGCAUGUGCUGUGAGCUCGAUGAGUAGGGCGGGACACGUGGUAUCCUGUCUGAAUAUGGGGGGACCAUCCUCCAAGGCUAAAUACUCCUGACUGACCGAUAGUGAACCAGUACCGUGAGGGAAAGGCGAAAAGAACCCCGGCGAGGGGAGUGAAAAAGAACCUGAAACCGUGUACGUACAAGCAGUGGGAGCACCCUUCGGGGUGUGACUGCGUACCUUUUGUAUAAUGGGUCAGCGACUUAUAUUCUGUAGCAAGGUUAACCGUAUAGGGGAGCCGGAGGGAAACCGAGUCUUAAUUGGGCGUUAAGUUGCAGGGUAUAGACCCGAAACCCGGUGAUCUAGCCAUGGGCAGGUUGAAGGUUGGGUAACACUAACUGGAGGACCGAACCGACUAAUGUUGAAAAAUUAGCGGAUGACCUGUGGCUGGGGGUGAAAGGCCAAUCAAACCGGGAGAUAGCUGGUUCUCCCCGAAAGCUAUUUAGGUAGCGCCUCGUGAAUUCAUCUCCGGGGGUAGAGCACUGUUUCGGCUAGGGGGCCAUCCCGGCUUACCAACCCGAUGCAAACUGCGAAUACCGGAGAAUGUUAUCACGGGAGACACACGGCGGGUGCUAACGUCCGUCGUGAAGAGGGAAACAACCCAGACCGCCAGCUAAGGUCCCAAAGUCAUGGUUAAGUGGGAAACGAUGUGGGAAGGCCCAGACAGCCAGGAUGUUGGCUUAGAAGCAGCCAUCAUUUAAAGAAAGCGUAAUAGCUCACUGGUCGAGUCGGCCUGCGCGGAAGAUGUAACGGGGCUAAACCAUGCACCGAAGCUGCGGCAGCGAACGUAUCACCCAAGACAACUUUACGGAGUUGACGAUUGACGGAGCGAAGCGACGUCAAAGCGUUCAUUAAAGUCGAGUUGGCUUAGGGAUACGUUCGUUGGGUAGGGGAGCGUUCUGUAAGCCUGUGAAGGUGUGUCGUGAGGCAUGCUGGAGGUAUCAGAAGUGCGAAUGCUGACAUAAGUAACGAUAAAGCGGGUGAAAAGCCCGCUCGCCGGAAGACCAAGGGUUCCUGUCCAACGUUAAUCGGGGCAGGGUGAGUCGACCCCUAAGGCGAGGCCGAAAGGCGUAGUCGAUGGGAAACGGGUUAAUAUUCCCGUACUUGGUGUUACUGCGAAGGGGGGACGGAGAAGGCUAUGUUGGCCGGGCGACGGUUGUCCCGGUUUAAGCGUGUA